rnacentral:rRNA from 1 species
UGCAGAGGAGCCAAGCGUUGUCCGGAUUGACUGGGCGUAAAGCGCACGCAGGCGGAUGCGCGCGUGGGGUGUGAAAUCUGGCCGCUUAACGGCCAGGCGCCAUCCCAUACGGCGCGUCUGGAGUGAUGCAGAGGUCGGUGGAAUUGCCGGUGUAGUGGUGAAAUGCGUAGAGAUCGGCAGGAACACCCAGGGGGAAACCAGCCGACUGGGCAUCUACUGACGCUGAGGUGCGAGAGCGUGGGGAGCGAACCGG